rnacentral:tRNA from 1 species
GCCCUCGUAGCACAGUGGUAGUGGUAAGUUUCUGAUCAUGACGAGGUCGUCUGUUCGAUCCAGGCCGCGGGCA